AAUCAGCGCUGGCGGCGUGCCUCAGACAUGCAAGUCGAACGAUUAAACUUUCCUUCGGGAAAGAUAUAAAGUGGCGCACGGGUGAGUAACACGUAAGUAAUCUACCUUCGAGUGGGGAAUAACGUUCGGAAACGAACGCUAAUACCGCAUAAUGCAGCGGCACCUAAUGGUGACAGUUAGUUAAAGGAGCAAUUCGCUUGAAGAGGAGCUUGCGGCAGAUUAGCUUAGNGGUUAAGGUAACGGCUUACCAAGGCUACGAUCUGUAACCGGUCUAAGAGGACGGUCGGUCACACUGACACUGAAUAACGGGUCAGACUCCUACGGGAGGCAGCA
rnacentral:rRNA from 1 species